rnacentral:rRNA from 1 species
UGGUUAAGCUACUAAGAGCACACGGAGGAUGCCUAGGCGCUAGGAGCCGAUGAAGGACGUGGCGAACAACGAAACUGCCUCGGGGAGCUGUAAGCAAGCUUUGAUCCGGGGAUGUCCGAAUGGGGAAACCCAGCUGGGGUAAUAUCCAGUUACUCUUAACUGAAUACAUAGGGCAAGUAGAGGCAUACCAGGGGAACUGAAACAUCUAAGUACCCUGAGGAAGAGAAAACAAU